rnacentral:lncRNA from 1 species
UCCCAUAACAUUUAGCACAUAAUAUAUAUAACACCUACGGGGUAAAUUCCCUCUCACAAGGUUAGAUAAGAGACUUACCUCGUUCCGAAAUCUGAUAACCCGCUCCAACGCCUCUCUAACUUCUCAACUCGAUGCCAAACAAUCUGAAACUAAUCAAACAACAUGCAAACCAAUCAAAAUAUACUUCAAUACUCAUAAUUUAAUAAUUUAUAAUAAUUCCCAACUUCGCUCGAAAAGGCAACAUAGUCAACCACCAAGCCCAUGUGUCGAAUUCCUAAAAUUAUCGAAAAUAAUUAUUACCCAUAACUUAUAUAGUCUAUAUCCAUAAAAUCAUCUAAUUUCGUCCAUGAAUUGACUAUCAAAUCAAGAAUUUAUCAUUUCUCAACUUUGGGUCUCAAAAUCCCAAUUUCUACAAUCCAAAUACGGAUAAAAAAAUAACCAAUGGAAAUAAUAAUGUAAAGACAUCAAAAUAAAUGUUAGAUGUUUACCCUCUUUUUGAGACGAGAACAACGCAGCAAAAAUCACCUCACACGGAGCUCUAAAACUCAAGAUAUGCUCAAAAAUACUAAAAUGAUCGGUCUACCCAUUUAAAAUACUGCACAUGUGAUUUUUGUUCUUCACCUUCGCGAAAAGAAAUUUUUUGCAUUGACCGAUCAACCUAAAAUUUUUUGCAUUGACCGAUCAACCCAAAAUUACUUUGCGAAGAACAAAAGUUCGCACCAGAAACCAACAAUCUUUUCCGAUACGAAAAUGGGCAUAACUCUCUCAUACGACCUCGUAAUUCGACGAUUCUUAUUGCUAUAGUUCUGUAAUUAUGAUACGGAUCUAAUGGUUCAAUAUAAUUAUAAAUUAAAGGUCAUUUGCUCAAUAUAGUACCCUUUAUGGCCAAAGAAACGACGUCAAAACAUCAAAUAAUAGUGCGAUUGUGAUGACCCGAUAGGUCAUUUUGAUAUUUAGCCUCUAUUUACGUAUUCCGAGACCCUGAUUAGCUUCGUUUGGCAUGUAUCAAUUUGCAUGUACAGUCCGUGUCCCAUCCUGGAUAGCCUUUAUGUGAAAACUUUAAGAAAAUGUAAAAUUUUGUCUUUAAAAUGGCUUGAGUUAACUACGGUCAACAUUUUAUGUAAAUGGAUACGGAUUAGUAUUUUGACGGUCCCGGUAGGUCCGUAUCAUAAUUUGGAACUUGGGCGUAUUCCCGAUAUUUAAUUCAGAAAUCCCUAACUUGUUAUGACUCAUUUUGCCGAAAACUAGCAUUUUUGAAAGUUGAAGAAUUUCUAAGUUUGACCGUAAGUUGACUUAUUAGCUAACGGGUUCGGAUUAUGAUAUUAAGACUUGGAAUAGUUCUGUAUUACUAUUUGAAAUUUGUUUGCAAAAUUUGGUUCAAUUCGGAAUUUAUUUGGCAUGAUUCGGACACUUAAACGUGAUUCUAGUAUUCUUGAGUUUCACUUUGAAAGUUCAUUCGUUUUGAGGAUUAAUGAUUCGUAGAUUUAGAUAUUAUUUUGGUGAUUUUAUUAUGCGAGCAAGUUCGUAUGAUGUUAUUAUACUUGUGUGCAUAUUUGGUUUGGAGCCCGAGGGGCUCGGGUGAAUUUCGAACGUGUUUCAGAUGAGUUUGGUUAAGGUUGGAAUAGUUGGUGCUGGUGCUUUGCUGCAGAUCUCGCAUUUGCGAGCAUGGGAUGGAUUGGGUGAACCUCGCAUUUGCAAGAUUUUUGUUCGCAUUUGCAAACUGUGGACCUUCGCAUUUGUGAAGAAAAUGGUCGUUAUUGCGAUCAUUGACUGCUGUUGACUGCUUCGCAUUUGCGAAGUUUAUGCUCGUAGUUGCGAAGGAUGGAAGCUCGCAUUUGUAAGCCAAAAUGUCGCAAUUGCGAUGGCUGCUCUUUUGAGACAGGGUUCACAUUUGUGACCCCUUUCUCGCAUUUGCGAAGUUCGCAAUUGCGACAUCCGCAGUUGGGUAAAAGAAGAGAAAAUGGGACUUAGCUCAUUUCUCACAUUUUCUCAACCCUAAACACUUUAGAGGCGAUUUUCCAAGAGAGUUUUCUUUCUAAAUUUAUUGGUAAGUGACUUUAAUCUAUUUUCAAUUACCCAUUACAUUUCAUGAGAUUUCGACAUCAAAUUUAGGAUUUUCACAGUAGAAAUUAGAGAUUUGAGUAGAAUUAAGAAUUUUUGUAAAAUUAGGAUUUUGACCUUGAAUUGAUGUCGGAUUUCGAAACAAAUUACAUAACCGGGCUCAGGGUGAAUGGGUAAUCGAGUUUUGGUUCGAAUCUUGAUUUUGACCAAGCGGGCCCGGGGUUGACGUUUGUUGACUUUUUCAAAAAAGAUCUAAAUUGAACCUCUUUCAUUUGUGGGUAAUUUCUAAAGCUUAUUUUGAAUCAUUUGGUCAAUAAAUUACUAGAUUUGGUUGGUUUUGAGGCUUGUUCAAAAGGCAAGGCUAUGAUUGAGUGAUUGCUUGAGCUGUGGAGCGAGGUAAGUGUUGGAUCUAACCUUGACUUGAGGGAAUUAGGGAUCCUUGAACUUCUUAUUAUGUGCAUUAUAGGAGAAACGGUAUAUAUACGAGGUGGCGAGUAUAUAUACGUCGUUGUAUUACUUGUUUCCAUGCUUUCGUUACUCCAUUGUAUAUCUUGUUACAUGUCUUAAUUGGUACACGCUUAUUUGACUUCCAUGCGAUAAUUGUUACUUGUCAUUUAGUUAUACUUGUAUUUAAUUGUCCAUCCCUUCCAUAAUUUCAUGCUUAAUUGCUAAACAUUCGGAAUUCUCUACCAGGUCUGAUUCUAACAUACGCACGUCAUAUCAAUCUCAACAUGUUGUACCAAAACAUGAUCAUGCACCCAUGCUGAAUUAACGCAAUGUACCGCAUAAUUCGAAUGCUCAUAAUAACAUCCUCCAAUCACAAUAGCUGCAAAUUCACGAAGCCGAUGCCCAUAAUAUACCUCAUAACGCAUAUAAGACCUGUUCCAACCCUCGCAAUACCACAAGAAUGAAAGAGAUGUGUAGAAACUCAUAACCACCUGCUAAAUCAAUAACUCCUGGAGUCUCUCCUCUUGGUGAGAACCAUUGCCUCAUACAAAACUAAUUAGUGACAUUUUUCCUCUAAUAUACAUUGUAUAAAUCUGAUUGCACUAAUUCCAGGUCCAACAACCUCGUCUCACCCAGUACAAGCUGCUCGGGCAAUAAACCACCUCAAACACCAUCUGAAAUCUCAUACGACGUCGUCAAUGCGUUAACAAGCCACAACUCGAAUAUGACCAAUAAGGAAUAACUAACCCGAAUACAAGAUUAUCCGUCCUGCGCAACGAAAAAAAAACAACCAAACCAAUGCUAUGAACCUAUCUCUGAGAUGAAAAAUAAAACACACAAAAUAAGUAUAAGGAACCAUACUCAAUAUCUCACUAUUGCGGUGUGUAUCCCGAUCUAAACAUCAUACUUGUGGUAGCGUGCCACCCGAUCCGCACAUAACAAUCAAUAAGGAAAUACCCAUCGAGCCAAAAUGCUCAUACCCACGAAAUGCUCGAAUAUCGACCCCAAGCAUGCCAAGUGCAUAAACACAACCCUAGGAAGACAGGUAGCGCCAUGCCCUUCAAAAUUCUAAGCACGACUAAGGUGCAAUAAACGACCUGCAUCUCGAGAGCCAUAUCGCUCAUAUAACACCACAAGAUACACAGGAUCACAACAUACGUAUGACUAAUCAAGCCGUCUCACAAAUCAUAUGGCAUAAAAGAGUAGAACCAGAAAUAGAUGAAGGCAGGAAUAUCAUCCACCACGCCCAAAGACCCAUUCAUAAGCGAUGAUAUGCCGAAUAAGCAUAUCUGAUCUGGUAUAAAAUAUACAUUCACAUUAGGCCUACCAACGCACCUCAAGCUGAUACCGAUCAUCCCAAAAUGGGCCAAUAAUCUUUCAAAGAUCCACAAUGACCCUAUUCAUGACACAUACGAUCUACCAUCCAAUAUGGAACAAAACAGUCCGCAACCAAAGAAAUAGAGUGCCUCUAAGACAUAUACUCUUCCAUCAUCGAUAAUACUAGAAUCUCCAUACCUGAUUUCAAUCUCUACCACAUAAAUGGUUGACAUGUCACGCUUAUACAAUCAUCUCGCGGGAGAUACUCCUAUGACCUUCCACACCAGGUAGCAAAAUCUGCACAUCCAUGGCUACCAACCAUACUAUUACUGUAAUGCAAAUCAACAAUCCAUAAAUCAAUACACAAUGCCUCUUAACAUAACACUAUUCACGGUGACACAAAAAUAACACCAAUAACUCUUUCGAGCUCGUGAUAGUCCUGUCAAAACUGGAUCGCAACCUUGAUCCUCAAAUUCCAAUUCCAUACCGUUCAUUGCACCUAUCAUGCUACUACGUGAGAGUACAAGCAUUUCAUCAUAACUCCUGAACCACUAGUAGAAUAAACACUUCAUAGGCUAGAACCUUUCACUCAACUCAUUUUAGAAGAAGAAUCGUAACACACAACAAUAUUCCCAUAGCCGCAAAAUACAUAGAACUCAAGUCGUGUUCUAAACCGCCAUAACUCUUCCGGGACCCAUUUAUACAUAAUCAAAACCAUCUGAAUCAAAUACCUCCAAAUCCAUCAAAUUACGGAGACUGUAAAGCCCGCACAUACAGCCACGAAACACAUGUAUUGCCUUACCACACUGAAGGAACCAAUCAUUUCCUUAAUCAUGUCGAUCCAAACCACUACUAGGCUGAUUCAGCUUCUUCCAAUUUCUUCUUGACUUGGCUUCAGAAUCAAUACCUCUAUUAAAUCACAUAACGGAUCCGAAUCAAUACUCAUAUCGAGUAACCCAAAUCAUGAGACCACGUCAUUUCAAUACCCAUAAGCCAUUUCAUACCCUGCUCAUGCAGCCUAUAGUUUCUCUAACUGAUACACCUGCGCUGAUUAGAUCUUCUGCAAAUCCGAAGCUGUUUCUCCUACUUUUUUAACACUGCACCGUAGACCCGUUGAUAAUAUAGAAAUGCUCUGAGUACCUUCACACUCUACUGCAAAAACCAAUCCUCAACCAGAUAAUGAACCUAAAAAUCCUUAAGCACCGCACCUAGAAUCUCGAAUCCACUAAAAUCAUUAUUGAGAGUCGCCCACUCUAGUCCAGCCCCGAUUAUAUAACCAAACCACUAGUGCUCCGUUAGCACAUGAGCACUCCAAUGAAGCAACUGGAUGAUUACUUUCCCUUGUAGAUCACAUCCAUCAAAUCCCCUGCUCAAAUUACCCUAAUGUUUUCCUCCCUUAGUAAUAACAAAUUCACCAACGUACAUGUCACACCCCUUUUUUUUUACCCCUCACUAGCUCCUCUUUAAACUAGAUAUAAAGUGUAAGGCUCAAAGGGUUUUCAAUUUGAAAGUGAUAUAAUUCGUGUUUCAAAGGAUUUUCGGAGUCGCUACCUGACAUAUGGCUUCGGUGUGCCAGGUCACCAUUUUUUUAAAAAAAAUAAUUCUUCCUUUCAAAACACAUUUAAACUCCAAAACUAGUUUGCACCAGAGACUCUAAGUAGGGGGGUUUAUUUGACUCGGGGAGAUGGUGUUAGGUAUUCCCCUAGUCCCGUAACUAGUAUGGUUGCAUACUUGAUCUAAUUGGCUUUUAAGAAUAUUCUAAUUGAGGUAAAACAAACAAAAGCAAAAUAAACACACAAAAGACUCGAGGUUGUUCCCACUUAAAUAAAAGAAAAAAAGAAUAAAAUAAGAAGAAAAGACUAAAAGUCUACACUAUGCACAUUCCAUAAUGUUCGUCACCGCCUCCAAUUACAUUCACUACGGGGCAUUCCCUGGAAAAAAUAUAUACAAAAUAUGCGGGGCAUUCCUCUGAAUAUAAACUAAAGGGAACGACUUCUUACCUCAAACAAAAUAAAAGAAAAGACCUAAAGAUUGCCUACCAAAGUGUAGCCGGCCUAAACAUGCUCCUAGCAGUCAGAGUAAUAAAAUAAAUAAAAGAAACUAAGUAAAAAAAUUCAUGGCAGGCUCAUUUUAACUUCUUUAGCGUCCCAAACCCCCUCGCCCCCUUUCACACGAAGAAGCAUAUAAACAAUGGCGGAUAGGAACGAAAACAAAGAAGAACAGAAAGAAAUAUUUCAUCAAAUAAGCACUCAAAAGAACCAAAUGAAACAGGAUGACACCGUAGUUUAAUUUUAAUUUAGCACGUUAGGACAAUUAAAUGGCACUCAAGCACACUGAAGCAUUAAACAAGAUAACAAAGAAACAUUCAAUAAGAACAAGUCCUUGUUUAAACCAAAAUCAACUAAAGAAAUAUGUAUUUCAAUGCAUACGAUCCAAAGUUAACAAGAAAAUUCAAAUGAACUAUAGAAACACUUUUAUCAAAAUACAAUAAAAAUAACUCAUUGAACCACUAAAGAGUAAUUUCUAUAAGUAGGAAUGGCAUGCUGAAAAUUUGUUUUCUUAUUAUCCAAUCUACUGCUAAUCUAGAAAGAUACUUUAACCUUUAAGAACGAGAGAUUGGCAGCAAACAUGGCUCAAACAAUUAAAAAAAUAUAUGCUUCAAAACACUUGUUUACAUGGAAAAUUUAGGUAGCAACUCAUAGAUCUUCAAAUAAUAAAUAGAUGAUUUCAUUCCUUUAAAAACCCAAGAAAUUGCAGAGAAAUCAUUAAAAUUUUAUUCACCUAUUUAAGCUGAAAACUAAACAUGAUGUUUGUCAACUACAAUACUUUUAGCACUCAACUUUCAGAUUUAACACAAAAGAUAUACAGCUACAAGUUCAAACAUGUAUUAACUCACUUCAAAUGCUAAACAAUUAUCCAAAAGAGAUUAAGGAAGAAACAGGUAGCCACAAUCACGUAAACUAACAAAUUAAUAAACACUAGCUCUCACUAUUGAUUCAACUCAUCUUUUAAUUACUUUUUAAAAUUAAAUAAAUAGGGGAUAAAGUAAUGAACCUGUUGAAGCCAAACUUUUCCUUAAUCAGAGUAGAAGAAUCCGUGGAUACAAAAAUCUUUGAUUACAAAAUCUAAGAGAGAAUCAGCAUAAAAAUUUAACCAGAAUCACGAACAUGAACCUUACGACCGGGCCUCGAACUCACAAACUGCGACCUGGGUACCCCAUCUUUGAAAUUAGAAACCAAAAGAAAAGUUGGAAUAUAUUUUCAUAUAUCUUUUCGAAAUUCGGAUCCUACUCACUUAAAAACAGAAAUCUUUUUUUUUUGUAUGAUUUUUCUGGAAUUCAAGAAGAAAAAAUCAGAGAAGAGAUUCAAGAGAAAUGAUAUUUUCUUUUUUAAUUAAAACCCCCUUCCAUCUCCCUCUUUUCCCGAAAUUUAUGUAUGAAAAAUCUCUCUUCCCAAAAAUCCUCUCUCCCCCUCAAAGUGUCUUUCCCGAAAAUUCUCCCUUCCCCUCAAAGUGUUGUCCUCACUCACUCCCUCUCUCUCGUGCUCUGUCCCCCUUGUUCUAUUCUAUAAAGUUGGUACUUAUCUAUGUGUGCAGCCCAUGAAGUGUAUCUUGGGCCCAAAGAAAU